rnacentral:rRNA from 1 species
AUUGAACGCUGGCGGCAGGCCUAACACAUGCAAGUCGAGCGGUAGAGAGGUGCUUGCAUCUCUUGAGAGCGGCGGACGGGUGAGUAAUGCCUAGGAAUCUGCCUAGUGGUGGGGGAUAACGUUCGGAAACGGACGCUAAUACCGCAUACGUCCUACGGGNGAAAGCGGGGGAUCUUCGGACCUCGCGCCAUUAGAUGAGCCUAGGUCGGAUUAGCUAGUAGGUGAGGUAAUGGCUCACCUAGGCGACGAUCCGUAACUGGUCUGAGAGGAUGAUCAGUCACACUGGAACUGAGACACGGUCCAGACUCCUACGGGAGGCAGCAGUGGGGGAAUAUUGGACAAUGGGCGAAAGCCUGAUCAGCCAUGCCGCGUGUGUGAAGAAGGUACUUCGGAUUGUAAAGCACUUUAAGUUGGGAGGAAGGGCAGUAAGUUAAUACCUU